rnacentral:tRNA from 1 species
GUAUUCGUUGUCAAGUGCUUAUAAAGGCGACAGACUAAAAAUCUGUUUUGGUCUCCCCGCUCAGGUUCGAAACCUGCCGACUACG